rnacentral:tRNA from 1 species
GCCUGGGUGGCUCAGUCGGUUGAGCAUCCGACUUCAGCUCAGGUCAUGACCUCAUGGUUCGUGAGUUCAAGCCCCGCAUCGGGCU